rnacentral:tRNA from 1 species
GUCGGAUUGGCUGAGUGGUCAAAGGCGCAGGGCUUAAACUCCUGUUCAUAAUGAUUCGCAGGUUCAAAUCCUGCAUCCGACA